UCUGCAGGAUUGUGUGUAUCGGCUUUACGCUAAUGCGGUGCGUCUUGCCGAAAGUAUUUCCUGCUAUAUUAAUACGAGGAAAGUGGGCAGUUAGGUUAACAUCGAUAAUUUGUUUUCAGUAACAAUCAUUUUCCCCUCAUGC
rfam:Brachypodium distachyon strain Bd21 chromosome 4, whole genome shotgun sequence.